rnacentral:rRNA from 1 species
CCUACGGGUGGCAGCAGUGGGGAAUAUUGGGCAAUGGGCGCAAGCCUGACCCAGCAACGCCGCGUGAAGGAAGAAGGCUUUCGGGUUGUAAACUUCUUUUUUCAGGGACGCAGCAAGUGACGGUACCUGAGGAAUAAGCCACGGCUAACUACGUGCCAGCAGCCGCGGUAAUACGUAGGUGGCAAGCGUUAUCCGGAUUUACUGGGUGUACAGGGCGUGUAGGCGGGACUGCAAGUCAGAUGUGAACACCAUGGGCUUAACCUAUGGCGUGCAGUUGAAACUGUAGUUCUAGAGUAGUGGAGAGGCAGACGGAAUGCGUGGUGUAGCGGUGAAAUGCAUAGAUAGUAGGAAGAACACCGGUGGCGAAGGCGGGUUCCUGGACAUUAACUGACGCUGAGGCACGAAGGCCAGGGGAGCGAAAGGGAUUAGAUACCCGGGUAGUC